rnacentral:piRNA from 1 species
UAAAAAAAAAGCUUGCUUUCUGGGUAUAA